rnacentral:rRNA from 1 species
GACGGAGGGUGCAAGCGUUGUUCGGAUUGACUGGGCGUAAAGGGCGUGUAGGCGGUUGGUCAAGUCUGAUGUGAAAGCCCGGGGCUCAGCUCCGGAAGGGCAUCGGAAACUAGCCAGCUGGAGCGCGAUAGAGGAGGGCGGAAUUCCUGGUGUAGCGGUGAAAUGCGUAGAUAAUCAGGAGGAACACCGGCGGCGAAGGCGGCCCUCUGGAUCGUUGCUGACGCUGAGACGCGAAAGCGUGGGGAGCAAACAGG